rnacentral:lncRNA from 1 species
AGUAGCCGCGACCCCCUGCCGCCAGCGUGACACACAAGUCUUUAAAAGGCUCUCUGCUCAGGGGAGAGAACUUUCUGACUCCAAGUUCACUGACGUCAAGCCUCCUGAUUUUGGCACUUGCGUUAAUGGAAACUUUAAUUCUUGGAAGUUCCACGUAUUUUCCAAGACUCGAGCCGAAAGUGUAUGGAGCAUAAACAAUGUAUUCAUUUAAUUAGCCAAAGACCUAAAAUUAGUCUUUAAUGAAGGCAAAUUAAGAACUUUUUUUUUCUCCUUGUGGUUAGAUCUCCUUAACCCCUGUAAGCCCAGGAUCCUAGUUUGUUAGUGGUAGUCCUCCUUUCUACUGUCAUUAAUUUUUGCAGUAAUUUAUGUAGUAUAAUAGUUUUACAAGUCUAUGAAGAAUCAGUUUGUAUAGUCAAUUCCCGCCAUUGUUCUAUUUUACCUUUGACUUUGUACACAUUAUUAUUCAUUAUUUUAGCCUGGGGAACAUUUACUGAACACCUUUGUAAGCUUUUUUUAGGUUUAUGUGUCUAGAGAUAUAUAAAUAUAUGUCAUAGUUGUUGCUUUUAAGAGGCAGACAGUUGUAGUAAGAGAGAUAUUCUCUAAUACAAGCAGGGAUGUGAUUAGAAUAGGAAAGGAAAUUUUAAAAUGUCAUGGGAAUUCAAAUGAGAGAUAUUUAAGAGUAGGAG